rnacentral:rRNA from 1 species
GCGUGAGUGAAGAAGGCCUUAGGGUUGUAAAGCUCUUUCGGCGGGGACGAUGAUGACGGUACCCGCAGAAGAAGCCCCGGCUAACUCCGUGCCAGCAGCCGCGGUAAUACGGAGGGGGCUAGCGUUGUUCGGAAUUACUGGGCGUAAAGGGCGCGUAGGCGGUGCUGUAAGUCAGGCGUGAAAGGCCCGGGCUCAACCCGGGAAGUGCGCUUGAUACUGCGGCGCUUGGAGUCCGGGAGAGGAUGGUGGAAUUCCCAGUGUAGAGGUGAAAUUCGU